AAACCAAUCAGUGAAUAGACGAUGUAAGAUAUUGUUAUUAAUUAGU
rnacentral:guide_RNA from 1 species